CACACACACACACACACAGGAAGCAGAUGACGUCAGUAGCUCAGCGUAUGAAUGCUAAUGGAGAGGCUCGUAAACGUGGUAGUGGUAUGACCCGAACCUUCUCCCCCCUUACUCCUAUCAUACAGCGCCUCUACAACAAGUCAGAUGAGGUGAGAGACACUGUACAUGUGUGUAGCUUGUGUGCAAUACAAUAGAGUUACGUACGCACUGUAUCAUACCUGUUUGGUAGUGGCCAUGCACCGGGCAGAGGUUUUGGGGCCCAUUACCCUGGCUGUAUUAUUGAGGGACACAUGCUCUGGAGACUUUGGGGCCCAUUAACCUGGCUGUAUUAUAGAGGGUGGCCUGCUAACACAGGUACAAACACAUGCUAUGGAAGCUUGCCUGGCUGUAUUAUUAGAGGGACACAUGCUAUGGAGGUUUUGGGGCCCAUUAACCUGGCUGUAUUAUAGAGGCUGCAUGUACUUGUAGGGUAUAGACAGGUUUCAAUGUAUCAAACAGUAUAGACUUUAGUAGCCACCUACAUUGUUUGAUUGAUGUUGAUUUCUGUUCCCAGGCUGAUAGCAAGAGUGAGAGGUCCUCCAGGAGCCAGAGACACACAGAAGACGCUAGGAGAUCGGCUCCAAAAGUCAAGUUCUCUAAAACUAUUACCGAGUUUCCAGACUACAGUCGCUAUGACAACCCGACAGAGAUCAAAUCAGUAUCAAGCCCAGGUCAAAGUCCGUCCCAUUGUCACCAUGGUAAAUUGGAUGGGGACUCGCUGAGGGUCAAAGGUGAACGCUCGGAACACAUCAGAAAAAAAUUAAUUAUUAUUAGCAUAGCACAAAUUGUUCAUUAUUUUUAUUGCUUAUACUCAAGAUUUGUAUGUUACUAAUGAUAGUGUCAUUUGCCAUA